UUACCAGGGUUUGACAUGCAGCUGCAAGUUUGCCGAAAGGCAGACCGCCUUCGAGGGCGCUGCACAGGUGCUGCAUGGCUGUCGUCAGUUCGUGCCGUGAGGUGUCGGGUUAAGUCCCUCAACGAACGCAACCCCUGUGUUUAGUUGCGACUACAGAUGAUGAGUCUGUAAGCACUCUAGACAGACUGCCCGUUUACGCGGGAGGAAGGUGGGGAUGACGUCAAGUCAGUAUGGCCUUUAUACCCUGGGCUGCACACGUGCUACAAUGGCCGGUACAGAAGGAAGCAAUACCGCGAGGUGGAGCAGAUCCCAAAAACCGGCCCCAGUUCAGAUUGGAGUCUGCAACUCGACUCCAUGAAGUCGGAUUCGCUAGUAACGGCGUAUCAGCUACGGCGCCGUGAAUACGUUCCCGGGCCUUGUACACACCGCCCGUCACAUCAUGAAAGCCGUCUGCACCCGAAGUCGCUGAGCUAACCCGCAAGGGGAGCAGGCGCCUAAGGUGUGGGUGGUGAUUGGGAUGAAGUCGUAACAAGGUAGCC
rnacentral:rRNA from 1 species